GACGAACGCUGGCGGCGUGCUUAACACAUGCAAGUCGAGCGGUAAGGCCCUUUCGGGGGUACACGAGCGGCGAACGGGUGAGUAACACGUGGGUGACCUGCCCUCAGCUCUGGGAUAAGCCUGGGAAACCGGGUCUAAUACUGGAUAUGACUCCAUGACGCAUGUUGUGGGGUGGAAAGCCUUGUGCGGCUGAGGAUGGGCCCGCGGCCUAUCAGCUUGUUGGUGGGGUGAGGCCUACCAAGGCGACGACGGGUAGCCGGCCUGAGAGGGCGACCGGCCACACUGGGACUGAGACACGGCCCAGACUCCUACGGGAGGCAGCAGUGGGGAAUCUUGCGCAA
rnacentral:rRNA from 1 species